rnacentral:pre_miRNA from 1 species
CGCUAUCUUCAUGUGGGGGUUUACAUAAAUUCCAAAGUAUGUAACCCAACUGAAAAUAGCUGGA